rnacentral:rRNA from 1 species
UCCUACGGGAAGCAGCAGUAGGGAAUCUUCCACAAUGGACGAAAGUCUGAUGGAGCAAUACCAUGUGAACGAUGAAGGUCUUUUUGAUUGUAAAGUUCUUUUAUGAGGGAUAACAACUGAUAGUACCUCAUGAAUAAGUGACAGCAAACUAUGUGCCAGCAGCUGCGGUAAUACAUAGGUCGCAAGCAUUAUUCGGAUUUAUUGGGCGUAAAGCAAGCGCAGGCGGAUGUGUAAGUUCUGUGUUAAAAGUAGCUACUUAAUAGUUGUUUGCACCGAAUACUACAUGUCUAGAAUGUGGUAGGAAGUUUUGGAAUUAAACAUGGAGCGGUGGAAUGUGUAGAUAUGUUUAAGAACACCGGAGGCGAAGGCGAAAACUUAGGCCAUAAUUGACGCUUAGGCUUGAAAGUGUGGGGAGCAAAUGGGAUUAGAUACCCCAGUAGUCCACACCGUAAACGAUGGGUAUUAGGUAUUGGGGUUUGAGCCUCAGUGCUGUAGCUAACGUGUUAAAUACCCCGCCUGGGUAGUACAUAUGCAAAUAUGAAACUCAAAGGAAUUGACGGGGACCUGAACAAGUGGUGGAGCA